UGUGAGCACAGUUCUGCUGAUCACUAAUAAAGAAAUGAUGUGUUGCAAGUACAAGGUUUUGGAUGUCAGAAGAGACAGGGAAUGAUAAAUUUGACAUCCUAAUCUAGCCAAGGACCUUUGCUUUUUGGACAUGGUGGAAAGAGGUUAUGAAUGCACAUUGAGGUAAUGUGUGGUCUCUCAGACAGAAAGUCUCCUUGAACUCCUGUUUCAAAGGGGAAUAAUGCUAGUGCCAACCUGAUGAGUUAUAAAAAUGAAUUGAGAUGGUGGGAUUUUGUUCUCUAAAAAUGGAGAGGAAAGGAAAAUGAUGAUUGUCGCUGUGGCCCAAACGGUAACUUUGAAUAUAACCAGCAAGUCGACUGAGGUCACCAUCUGGAUUUUGUGAGAUUGUCUCUGGGGCUCAGAGGUUCUAAGGAUGCUUGGGACUUUCAGGAUGACCUUGGCACAGCUCUGCCCUCCUGGAGCCUGUUUUCCUCCUGUGUAAAGCAAGCAACGUGGAAAGGAUGAUUUCUGAACCCUUAUAGCUGGUUAUCUUGGACAAGUAAUUUAAAAUCUUGGAAUCCCAGUCUCAGGGCCUGUGAAAUAGACCAUGGGGCAAGACUGUUGUUGAAAAAAAUGAUGUUGUGUAUACU